UGUUAAAAGAAACGCACAUGAAACCUUCAAAUUACCCAAUGGGUAUUGUUAAAAAAGUAAAAUUAAAUGACUUGGAUGAAGUAACUGACAUAGCUGUGUUUAAGGGAGCUUCUCGUGAAACUGUAAGACGGCAUGUUACUUCAGUAAUACCUCUCUUAAGAACUGUGACUAAUGACACUGAUGAAAAGGCAGAUAUUAAAGAGGACAGUAGUACACAUCAAAGAAAAAGGAGAAAGGCUGCUGUCAUUAGUGAGGCACGAACUAGAGAUAUGUUGAGAAAUUAGUAUGCAGUAUAUGUUUAGGUGUUGGUAAUUUUGAUUUUUUUCCGUUAGAAUGUUACUCAAUUUUGUAACAUUAGCUUUACCAUUCGAAUUUUGACUAAAUUCGAAUCCCCCCUUUGGAGUGUUGAAGAAUUAUUUUAUAUUCUAAUUCUGUAGAAAAUUUAUAAAAUUGUGUGUAUAUAUAUAUCUAGGUUCAUAUUUGUUUUAUCCUUGAAACCCCCCUUUUGCCAUACAAAGCAAAAUCAAAAAGAAAUACUGGGAGUUUCAAGGAUAAUAUGUUCAGUCCAUAGAUGGCUCUGCUGGCUGUAUUUUAAUAUUUGCAGUUCCUGAUUCCAUCAUCCUUGGGAAAAAAUUUUCACCUACUGGUAAUGAGAGAAGAGUGAGGAGGCAGAUCAGCCAUAUUGGAUAAUGUUUUCUUCUAGUGAAGAAGUGCUAUGAAGAUGGAGUAGCACUUUAAUUUAAGGCCACCUCUCCUGCAAUUGCUUACCACGAGUGCUACCAUGAAGAGUGCAAUAUCAAGAUUUCAGAAUACAUACUUCUCAACAAUGGGAUAUUCUGCUGCUCUUCGAUUUGCUUUGGGAUUUUAAGGAUAUGGCCUACCAACCCAGCUAGGUUACUUGUGCUUGCUGGAAGGUAGCCUAGUAUCAUCGGCUUCAGUCAUCUUCCUGGUCUUGGCAAAUUUAUUUAGAAUCCAUAGUUUUCAAAAACAGGCAAGAGUUGAGUGGGUUCUACCACAGGCAGUCACUAGUGAUUGAGGAUUCCACUUCAGCCAUCAGAGUUCCAUUGCUUUGCCAUAUUUAAUAUUUAUUCAAUAUAAAUAAAGAAUCUAAUAUUUUUAA